UACGGGGGGGGCAAGCGUUGUUCGGAAUUACUGGGCGUAAAGGGCUCGUAGGCGGCCAACUAAGUCAGACGUGAAAUCCCUCGGCUUAACCGGGGAACUGCAUCUGAUACUGGAUGGCUUGAGUUUGGGAGAGGGAUGUGGAAUUCCAGGUGUAGCGGUGAAAUGCGUAGAUAUCUGGAGGAACACCGGUGGCGAAGGCGACAUCCUGGACCGGUAUUGACGCUGAGGCGCGAAAGCCAGGGGAGCAAACGGG
rnacentral:rRNA from 1 species